AAAGGGGACUUCCUACUAGAGUACCAAGGUCAACUCAUUACCCAUCAGGAAUGUGAGAGGAGGCAGAGGAUCUACCAUGACAGCCUUAAGGACUUCAUGUUCAAGUUCCGUUUUGAUGGAAAACUCUGGUGUGUUGAUGCGGCUAAAGAGGACGGGACCUUGGGCAGACUGGCCAACGAUGACCAUGUAAACCCGAAUGCAAAGAUGAAGUACAUUAUGGUUGAAGGAAAGCCCCAUCUGUGCUUGUUUGCAAAACAUAGUAUAAGCCCUGGAGAGGAGAUCACAUAUGAUUAUGGUGAUUCAGACUGGCCAUGGAGAUAUAAGGUAGCUGAAGUUUUCCUUUUGUGAUAUUAAUGUCUCAAACUCCUGUGUUGCUAAAUCAUAGCAAUACAAUUCUAUGAGAGCGUGAAGACACACUGGAAAAGCUAACAAUUUGUCCCAUGACUGGUCAGAGGUCAUGUUUUUCCCACCUUUCUUAUGGUAUUACAUAGGAAACAUCUUAUAACUUUUUUUUUCUGUAGGAUGAUGCUGCAGGGACCCAUGGCAGUGAAAUGGUGGACAAGCCCCAUGACACUAAGAUGGCAGCAGGGACCCAUGACACUGAGAGGGUGGACAAGCCCCAUGACACUAAGAUGGCAGCAGGGACCCAUGACACUGAGAUGGUGAACAAGCCCCAUGACACUGAGAUGGCUGCAGGGUCAUGUCCAGAUCCAAGGAAUCCCAGCAGGGUUGGAAAGUGUAAAAAUCAUCACCUUGUGCUCACAACAGUAGCCACCCUGGAUAAGUGCAUUCAGUGUGUGGGACCU